GGGUGCAACCGAAUGACUGUUUAGCAAAAACAUAGUAGACAGGUUUAAGAUUUUUAAUAGUUGUGAAUGAUGUUUGACCAGUGCUUGUGGAAACAAGUAAACGUUGGCUGUAACUAUAACCGUCCGAAGGUAGCAAAGUUCCUUGUCACCUAAGUAGUGACCCGCAUGAAAGAUUUAACGGUUUGGUUUGUGUCCUGUGGGUAUGUUAUGGUGAAACACUAUACUACGUGAAGAUACGUGUAAUAUUAGGAUGGGACAAAAAGACCCUGAGAAGCUUUAUUGGGAGAGAGAACCAGAGGUGUUGAUAGCGGGGAUAUAUACUAGUGUAAGUGGGUAUAUUUUUCAGCAUCACCGCAUUGCCAAGCAUGCAAAACCCUGCCUUCGGAGCGGGUGCUUUCUUUUAGAGGAGCAACAACCAAUCUUCCAUUAAUCCUGGACUAACAAUCCUGACAUAUCCUGACAUUACCAUUAGAUAUGUAGGCAAGCAUUCGGUGUGGGGCUAUUUUAUUGGGGCUAUGCCUUUAUGUAAGUCAAUAAUAGGGUGCCAAGAGAACAUACUGGAAGAGAGCAGUGUUUUUAGCAAGGGCAUAUCAUGGGACAUUUGAAUGUGGGGGUAUAGUAGUGAAGGUUGUAGUCAGCAUUAGUGAACUUAAGUGUAACGUAUCAGAUAACAGCUACUCCUUGGAUAACAGGCUUAUAUAGGCUGACAGAUCGCAUGGAGGCAUAUCAUUGGCACCUCGAUGUCGGCUUGUCUCUUCUAGUAUAUUGAUUAGUAUAACUAGUGUGGUUGCUCAUCACAUAGUCAGGCAAGUGAGCUGGGUUCAGAACGAUGUAAAUCAGUUUGGUCUAUAUCUUUAUUGGUGUUGCGAGAAAGUAUAGUAUAGCAGUACGCAAGGAC
rnacentral:rRNA from 1 species